rnacentral:rRNA from 1 species
UACGUAGGGGGGCAAGCGUUUGUCCGGAUUUAUUGGGCGUAAAGGGCGCGUAGGCGGCUUGGCAAGUGGAUGGUGAAAUCCCUCGGCUUAACCGAGGAACUGCCGUCCAAACUGCUUCGCUUGAGACCGGGAGAGGUGAGUGGAAUUCCCAGUGUAGCGGUGAAAUGCGUAGAUAUUGGGAGGAACACCAGUGGCGAAGGCGGCUCACUGGACCGGUACUGACGCUGAGGAGCGAAAGUGUGGGGAGCAAACGGG